rnacentral:tmRNA from 1 species
GGGGGCGUACCGGUUUCGACGGGGGUAUGGAGGCAGGAUCAGCGGGCGGAUGCGCCUGACAUCCUAAAAACGGGCAAUUAUAAAUUAAAGAACAACAACGAGUUUGCUGUUGCUGCCUAAUUAAGGCAGCCGUCUGAACCGGAGAGGCCACAGGCCGGGGAAGGCGUCGUUAAUGUGGCGUCCGUGAGGCGGGAAAGAGUUGACCUGCCCACGCAUCAUGACUCUCACCUGAACGGAUCGGCGUGACGGCUUGCCGCCGGGAGGGGAACAAGGGGAGCAAGACCCCGCCAAUAACCGCCUGCGCCCGGAGAAAAUCCUGUUAAAGUGCUUUCGGACAGGGGUUCAACUCCCCUCGCCUCCACCA